rnacentral:tRNA from 1 species
GCUUAUAUAGUUUAAGACCAAAC